GACGAACGCUGGCGGCGUGCAUAACACAUGCAAGUCAAGGGGGUCAGUAGCAAUACUGGCAACCGGCGAACGGGUGCGUAACACGUAAGCGACCUACCUCGAUGUGGGGCAUAGCCGGCCUAACGGCCGGGUAAUUCCGCAUAAGACCCCGAUGAGGCAUCUCAUUGGGAUGAAACCAGUAAUGGGCGUCGAGAGGGGCUUGCGGCCUAUCAGCUAGUUGGUGAGGAACGGCUCACCAAGGCUACGACGGGUAGCUGGUCUGAGAGGAUGGCCAGCCACAUUGGGACUGAGAUACGGCCCAGACUCCUACGGGAGGCAGCAGUGGGGAAUCUUGCGCAAUGGCCUAACGGCUGACGCAGCGACGCCGCGUGAGGGAUGAAGCUUUCGGAGUGUAAACCUCUGUUGCCCGGGACGAAUAGCGGAUUAUUCCGACUUGACGGUACCGGGUGAGGAAGCACCGGCUAACUCCGUGCCAGCCGCCGCCGUAAC
rnacentral:rRNA from 1 species